rnacentral:rRNA from 1 species
GACGAACGCUGGCGGCGUGCCUAAUACAUGCAAGUCGAGCGGACAGACGGGAGCUUGCCCCCUGAUGUUAGCGGCGGACGGGUGAGUAACACGUGGGUAACCUGCCUGUAAGACUGGGAUAACUCCUGGAAACCGGGGCUAAUACCGGAUGGUUGUCUGAACCGCAUGGUUCAGACAUAAAAGAUGGCUUCGGCUACCACUUACAGAUGGACCCGCGGCGCAUUAGCUAGUUGGUGAGGUAACGGCUCACCAAGGCAACGAUGCGUAGCCGACCUGAGAGGGUGGUCGGCCACACUGGGACUGAGGCACGGCCCAGACUCCUACGGGAGGCAGCAGUAGGGAAUCUUACGCAAAUGACGAAAGUCUGACGGGGCAACGCCGCGUGAGUGAUGAAAGGUUUCGGAUCGUAAAGAUCUGUUUUUAAGGAAGAACAAGAGCCGUUCGAAUAGGGCGGCAUCUUGACGGUACCUAACCAGAAAGCCACGGCUAACUACGUG